GGGGGUGUAGCUCAGUGGAAGAGAAUUUGACUGCACAUCAACAGGUCCCCAGUGCAACUCUGGGUGCCCCCU
rnacentral:tRNA from 1 species